CUGACCUCAAAUCAGGUAGGACUACCCGCUGAACUUAAGCA
rnacentral:rRNA from 2 species